rnacentral:rRNA from 1 species
AGAGCGAACGCUGGCGGCAGGCCUAACACAUGCAAGUCGAACGGAUCCUUCGGGAUUAGUGGCGGACGGGUGAGUAACACGUGGGAACGUGCCUUUUGGUUCGGAACAACUCAGGGAAACUUGAGCUAAUACCGGAUAAGCCUUUCGAGGGAAAGAUUUAUCGCCAUUAGAGCGGCCCGCGUAGGAUUAGCUAGUUGGUGGGUAAAGCCCACAAGGCUACGAUCCUUAGCUGGUCUGAGAGGAUGAUCAGCCACAUUGGGACUGAGACACGGCCCAAACUCCUACGGGAGGCAGCAGUGGGGAAUCUUGCGCAAUGGGCGAAAGCCUGACGCAGCCAUGCCGCGUGAAUGAUGAAGGUCUUAGGAUUGUAAAAUUCUUUCACCGGGACGAUAAUGACGGUACCCGGAGAAGAAGCCCCGGCUAACUUCGUGCUAGCAGCCGC